CCUAACACAUGCAAGUCGAACGGUAACAGGAAGAAGCUUGCUUCUUUGCUGACGAGUGGCGGACGGGUGAGUAAUGUCUGGGAAACUGCCUGAUGGAGGGGGAUAACUACUGGAAACGGUAGCUAAUACCGCAUAACGUCGCAAGACCAAAGAGGGGGACCUUCGGGCCUCUUGCCGUCGGAUGUGCCCAGAUGGGAUUAGCUAGUAGGUGGGGUAACGGCUCACCUAGGCGACGAUCCCUAGCUGGUCUGAGAGGAUGACCAGCCACACUGGAACUGAGACACGGUCCAGACUCCUACGGGAGGCAGCAGUGGGGAAUAUUGCACAAUGGGCGCAAGCCUGAUGCAGCCAUGCCGCGUGUAUGAAGAAGGCCUUCGGGUUGU
rnacentral:rRNA from 1 species